rnacentral:rRNA from 1 species
GAUGAACGCUGGCGGCGUGCUUAACACAUGCAAGUCGAACGAUGAUCCCCAGCUUGCUGGGGGGAUUAGUGGCGAACGGGUGAGUAACACGUGAGUAACCUGCCCCCGACUCUGGGAUAAGCCCGGGAAGCUGGGCCUAAUACCGGAUAUUCACCGUCCCUCGCAUGGGGGGUGGUGGAAAGGUUUUUUCUGGUCGGGGAUGGACUCGCGGCCUAUCAGCUUGUUGGUGGGGUAGUGGCCCACCAAGGCGACGACGGGUAGCCGGCCUGAGAGGGUGACCGGCCACACUGGGACUGAGACACGGCCCAGACUCCUACGGGAGGCAGCAGUGGGGAAUAUUGCACAAUGGGCGCAAGCCUGAUGCAGCGACGCCGCGUGAGGGAUGACGGCCUUCGGGUUGUAAACCUCUUUCAGUAGGGAAGAAGCGAAAGUGACGGUACCUGCAGAAGAAGCGCCGGCUAACUACGUGCCAGCCGCCGCCGUAAAAC